CCUACGGGUGGCAGCAGUGAGGAAUAUUGGUCAAUGGACGAGAGUCUGAACCAGCCAAGCAGCGUGAAGGAUGACUGUCCUAUGGGUUGUAAACCUCUUUUAUCAGGGAAUAAAAUGUUCCAAGUGUGGGAGGAUGUAUGUACCAUAUGCAUAAGAAUCGGCUAACUCCGUGCCAGCAGCCGCGGUAAUACGGAGGAUCCGAGCGUUAUCCGGAUUUAUUGGGGUUAAAGGGGGCGUAGGUGGAUUGUUAAGUCAGUUGUGAAAGUCUGCGGCUCAACCGUAAGAUUGCAGUUGAAACUGGCAGUCUUGAGUACAGUAGAGGUAGGCGGAAGUCGUGGUGUAGCGGUGAAAUGCUUAGAUAUCACGAAGAACUCCGAUUGCGAAGGCAGUUUGCUGGACUGAAACUGACACUGAGGCUCGAAAGUGUGGGUAUCAAACAGGAUUAGAUACCCUUGUAGUC
rnacentral:rRNA from 1 species